rnacentral:rRNA from 1 species
UACGUAGGGUGCAAGCGUUGUCCGGAAUUAUUGGGCGUAAAGAGCUCGUAGGUGGCUUGUCGCGUCUGCCGUGAAAGCCCGUGGCUUAACUACGGGUCUGCGGUGGAUACGGGCAGGCUAGAGGCUGGUAGGGGCAAGCGGAAUUCCUGGUGUAGCGGUGAAAUGCGCAGAUAUCAGGAGGAACACCGGUGGCGAAGGCGGCUUGCUGGGCCAGUUCUGACGCUGAGGAGCGAAAGCGCGGGGAGCGAACAGG